rnacentral:lncRNA from 1 species
ACUAUAUUGGUCUGUUAUCAUCCCUUGGCCUCUCACCUGAUGCAGCCAGUCCAGGGACAGAAUGGGGAUUCCCCGCCCCAGGGCACACAGGAACUUGACUGUCCGGCGGAUGCGAUCAGUGACCAGAGACACCUGAUGCUUCUUUAUAUGUAUAAUGGCUGCCCCUGGUGGGACUUCCUUCUCCACUUGUGUGUUGAUGUCCACUGUGGUGGAGGCUUGGCUUCUCUCCAGGUGGAUCCCAGAGAUGUGCCAAAGUCAGCGCUGCUGAGACUUCUUCCUCGUCAUCUGUAUCGCUGUUGAUAACCAUGGAAGCUUGGCUUUUCUCCAGAGGGACAGCCUGUGGGGCCCUGCCUUCCUCCACAUCUGUAUCACUACCAGCCUGGCUCUCCUGCAGAUGGGCCAGGCCUGGUGCUCCAGGACCCCUUGUACCUACUCCAUGGAAGAUCUUCCUCUUCUUCAUAGGAAUGACAACUGGGGUUGCUGGGAUCCUCUCUUCUUCCACAUCAGUGUUGCUGUCGAUGAAGCCAAAAGGCUGAGCCCUUUCCAAAUGGACCUCAGCUGGCCUUCCAGGAGGCCUGCUGUCAUCAUCCACAUCUGUGUCACUGUCCUCUCCAGGAGGUUGGCUCCUCUCCAGAAUCACCCCAGCUGGAACCACCCCAUUCCCUGCACCCCUCUUGACUUUUGUAUCAUCGUCCCUCUCCUUCACUAAAGGCUGAUCCUUUUCAAGCUGGAUUUCAGUUA